CGGCCCCGCCAUAAAAAGGGAAGGAGGGGGACACCGCGAGGUGCGCGCUGCGGGUCCCGCCCGGGCGCCGUGCCGGCAGAACGUGCCUGGAAGGGAUGGAUGGAGGCAGGAAAAGCCGGAGAAGGAGCGAGGAGGCUGUGCCGAGCGAUGAGCCGCCUCCCCUCCCUCCCUCCCUCCCGCGCUCGCUCCCGCCCGCCCUCCCGCAGGAAUCCCGGGCGGGCGGGCGGCGCGGCGGCACCCGGACGCGCGGCGGCGGGAGGAAGGAAGGGAGGGAGGGAGGGAGCGGGAGAGCGGCGCUGGCGAGGAGGAGCCGCCGCCUCAUCCUGCGGCACCGGCCCGGCGAGCGCAGGUGGCAGUGUAGAAGCCAAGAACAAAAAUUGGCAGAAAUUGCAUUCUGUGUGCGAGAAUAUGAAGAGUGUACUCAUGACUAAGCACAGGAACCUGGAAAACCACAGGCUUUAGUCAGGGGAUCCCUGAUGAGUAGUCAGCCCACCAAGAAGGCACUUCAGCACACACACAGGUAAGAGAGAAGCUGUAUACUCUUUAAUGUGACCGGGGGGUCCAGGGGAGAAGAUAAACAGCCUUACAUUGUUUGAAUAGUUUUAAAAAAAUAUUCCUGACUUGCUUGGGUGUGUAACAUUGUGAUUGUCUCUUUCAAUGCUGCUACUUCUGCUAUUCAGUCUUGUUCUUGAUUUUUUUUUUUUAAAUCUGUCUUUAAUUAGAAACUUUAUUGCAAAGAAAAAAAAAAAAAGACCAAUUGUGUGGUGUUAAAUAUAGUCCUGGGUAUUGCAUGAAUGUUGCAUUUUGUUACUUUUUGAAUAAAAUAACUUUCUAUAAUGCAAGUGUGUCAAACUCAUAUUUAGAGGGGAAUUCCCAAAUACUUAAACUAUGAGUCAUAAAAAGUUAAAGGACCAGUACAACAGUUCAGGAUAAAAACUGCGUUCAGCCUUGGGUAGCUGCUUUUGUACGUUUUGGUAGUGAAAUAUGUCUUUAAAGAAAAACAACCCCAAAGAUGUGCAAAGCUGAAGUAGCUACAACUAUGCUGGCCAUGACCCCAAACACAGGUAGCAGGGACAGAAACAGAUGACUGGGGAGGAGGACUGUGCAGCACUCUUGGUUUCAUGCACCUUUUCUUUCAUUAUUUGUAUAUAAGAACCUGGUGAAGGAGUCUUCUUACGUGCUAAGGGUGCUUCAAAGGGCUCUGAUUCCUUAAUUCCUGUUAUAUAAUGUCUGAGAAAGGAAACAAAGCAGAAAACCAGUAAUAAGUACCCUUACUACGAAUGAAAAAGUACAAAAUAAAAAUAUCUGUUGAUUGUGACAGAUAAAAGUGGACCUUAGGUGUUUUUAUGCCUGGCUAUUAUGCCACACUCCCUUCUCUUUAAACACAGCUAUGCAAAGUGUUCUUCCCUAGUGUAGUUUUUCUUCACUAAAAUAUCUAAGAUACUCUUUGAAAUUUUGAAUGACUUGUGAUAAAAGAUGUGUUCAGAGACAGACAACUGUUCCCAGCUCCCACCUGUAGCUCUGAAAAACUCCUCGUGGUCUAGAGUUGUAGAAGACUUUAUUUUGAAAAGCUCUCAUACAAAUUUUCAUGUUUUACAGGUAACAAUAUUCCUGUUGAAUAUCUUGCAGUGCUUAAAUAAAAACUGUUUGAGAUGUACUCUUUUUUUCUAUCACUAUAUGCAGUGUUUCAUAAGAUGCUGGUGCUGUAGACGAGAGGAAUAAAGAUGCAUGACUUUCCAAUUAUUUUUAAUUUCAUGAUGUUUCUCUUUUCUCAUUGUUAAAAAGUCUCUACUUGCGACAAGCUGGCUGUGGGAUGUUGGUAUUGUCUUAUAACAACAACUGGUGCUUAGAUGCUCAGAUGUGCUGAGGUUUAAUCUGGGGGGAGACUCUGGAAUGGGGCAGUGGGGUAGGUGGAGGACUGUUCUUGUUGACUACAGUGGACCUUUAUCAUGUACAAGGCUGAGGAAACACCCAGGUUGGAGUGAUGGACUGGGAGGAUAAUUGCAAGAAGCAUGGGAAGCAUCAGAGAGGUUGAUGGUGGUAUCAGGGUAUUUACAGCAAGGGAUAAGAGCUGUGAAGUUGGCUUUUGUACUAGAUCAUGGUGCAGAGAGCAUUCUUAAGUUUCAAAUACUCUUUGGCAAUAGUUCUCUACUAAAGGGUUUUAAGAGAUAUUUUUUUUCCCUUUUUAUGGGAUGGGAGGAUGAGAGGUUUCAUGAGGUGAGGAGAGCUUAGUGAUGUGAAACAGGCAAUAAUGACUCUGGUUUGCAGGGAUUGCUCUGAAGUGAGUGAUCUACUUGGCAUGAGGGCCAGCAAUGAGACACUUGGUGUUCAGUGCUCCCCUUUCCAAUAAGAACUGGGAAUUGAAUAGGCUUGGGGCUCUGGAGAAAUGAGGUAAUUAGCCCUGAAAGUACCCCAGGUUCCUGUAAGCGUGUCCCACACUGGCUUUGUCUUAAGCAGUGUGAUCUUUUUAUGAAUGGAUGCAAAUCUUCUUAAGUUUCUUGCAGUUGUCCUUAGGGGAAUUCCUGGCAGGUGGGCUUGUCUGGGCUGCACUCUGCAGAAAUGCUGCCAGUGCAUGUGCAGGAUCCAGGCAGUUCAUCUCCUUACCUAUGGGUGUUAGUGUGGAGAGAGAGGGGACAUGUGAAACUGGAAUGGGUAAAUAUAAAACUUUCAGAGUACUUAUUUCUUUUCCUCAUUUUUUUUUCCAUCUAUUUUUUUUGUUGUUGUCAUUUUCAGUUUUCGGGAUUUUCCAUUAAUUCAUGGGCUUUAACCUGUUGAUUGUCUAUAAUCACUAGCAGCUUUAAACUCCUGGCAAGGCAGCCUGUCUAGUUAAAAUAUAUCACAAAGAUAGGGAAUAUAUAAUUUCAGGUAUAUGUCUGCCUUUUCAUUUGUGUAUUUAAGAUGUUUGCUCCUGAAGAGAGGGGAUUUUUUGGAAGUAUUUCAAGUGCAGUUCCUAGAUUUUCACUUAUUGAUAUGAGAAUCUCUCUUUCAAUUAACGUCUGACUUGUGAUCACUAUAGGUCAUGUUUAUUUAACCCCAGCAUUACCUAAUGAUCAUGACUGCCUUGAAGCUCAGUAGGAAAAAAUAAAUAAUCUGCAAAUGAGGAACUGAUUCUGUCUGUAUGGCUUUAUAGAGAAUAACAUCUGCAAUAUUUAAUUUUCCUCAGAGCAGUGGAAGAAAAACUAGAGUUCCACAGCUGUACUGAGUAAACUUGCAAGAACGUGAGUUCUUAACACCUUUCAUAAAUAAAAUCAGUUUAAGAAUGUCAAGAAAAAUCUCAAGGAAGACUUGUUGAAUCACAUUAUUUUAAUGGAAUGUUUCUUAUAAUGAAGUGUUUUACUAUACAUUUUCUCAUAGGUUGUUUUUAUUAACUUUAGAAGGUGAUGACCACAGAUUUUUGGUUUUGCUUUUUAUUACUAGAUAGAGGGCAGACCCUGCUGUUACUCAUUUAGUAAGAUCUCUAUACAUGUAUUGCAGGGCUUAACUUGACACCAAAAGAAUCAUUACUUAAGUGUUACAUCCCACUUGUAUUUCAGUCAGACAGCACUUCAGUUGUUUAAAACCAAAACUCUUCAUUCCCCUCUUUCCUAUUUAUGAGGAGACUUAUGAGUGCAGAAACCUGAAGUGGGAUUUUCCACUUCCGUGGAACUAAAAAGCUUAGACCUUCCUGGUGUUAUUCACACGAAUCCCUUUAAGGCUUUGCGUGCGCACCAAAGCUCGGAUAACCCCGCGAAAUUUUACCGUUACCCGGCAAAGUCCUUCUCGUGUCUUUAGGAUCCUCUUAGGCAGAUUAUUUGAUAUUUUACUGGGCUGUUUUAGCUGUAAUUUCGUGCGAAGGCUUCGUGCUUGAAGCCCUCGUGUUGGGAAGAGAGGGAUGAUGAUGAUGCAGGGACGGGCCCGGGGCUUGCGGAGGGGCCGGCGGCGGUGUCUCCCUCCGGUGGAGGGAUGAGGUACUGCACCACCCCCCGUCCGACUGCUCCCCCGAAUUUGGGGGAUUUACAGCUGGAAAGCCGUGUGCUGAACUCCAUGACUUCUCUCUCUCUCUUCCCCAACUCCCCUCAGAAAAUGAAAAAAAAGAGAGGCUGUUAGAGGCAGCUCCAGUAAGUUCAACGUUUCUCGCUCUCUAGUUUCUCACUUUUGCCCGAUAUUUUCCCCGAUAUGAUGGAGAGGGAUUUUUUGAAAGGACAUACAGUGACAGGACAAGGGGGAAUGGCUUCAAACUGAAAGAGAGUAGGUUUAGAUUAGGUAUUAGGAAGAAAUUAUUGUGAGGGUGGUGAGGCACUGGAACAGGUUGCCCAGGCAAGUUGCGGAUGCCACAUCCCUGGAGGUGUUCAAGGCAAUGGAUGGGGCUUUUAGCCACCUGGUCUGGUGGAAGGUGUGAUCUUUGAGGUCCUUUCCAAUCCAGGCCAUUCUUUUUUUCUAUGAUUUUAUUCAUGUUUUCUGUGUUGGUCCAGAGUAUGUGAUAAAACACAUCGCAAGCAGUGAUUAAUGGUGUGCAAAGACAUACUAAAAACACCCAUGUCAAUGCAAACCGAUAAUAUGCUGAAACAAUGAAAAAAGACUCUUCGAUCUCUUAUUUACUGAAAUGUGAUGUUAACAUUAGGAAACAAGAUUUACACUUGCUGCAAAGGCAGAAUAAUUUUUAUUUCCACUGAGAAAUGCUGUCUGUAAACUUUCCGGAAUCUGUUGGACUAUAACAAAAUGUUAGAAAUACCCAAAGAUUCCUAAAUCAAGCAUAUCAUGUUAAUAUUUAACAUCCAUAUAUGUGAGCUAUUUCCCAAAUCAGUUUUGCUUUUCCUCUUAGCACUGCAGAGAAGAAAAAACUCCCUUACUGCUAUAUGCACGGAUACAAGUAAUAAGCUCCUAAAACAAUCAUGAGGCCCGACACUUAAUCACUCUGUCUGGUGAAUGAUUAUUCAGAAGUGAAAGUCCUGCCACGACACACAUUUCAUUUGAGAGCUGUCAUUGCACCACGUGCUCUAAACCCCAGUUUCAUGGACUGCACGUCCAGUCAGUUCACCGGGGGAAAGGCAUAAGCAAUAUUUGGUUUGAAAAUGUCUCUGUACUUCUGGAGCAUCGUCAGAAUAAAGUGGAUACUCUAUAAAAUGGAAGAGCCAGGUGUAUAGAACUGCUUCCAUGGGACUUGUUGCUGGCAGCUUGCCACCUUUUCUCCCCACUGCCACCACAUGCCGCCACUUGGACCAGUGAUAGCCAGAUUGCGCUCUGUGGAAGCUGGUGAGAAGGAUUUUUCUGAGCCUGAACACAGAAGGUGCCAUAACAAGCAUCGUAAAUGUCCCAAAUUAUAAAAUUACUAAAGGCAAGGAAGUACAAAAAGAGUAAGCAAUGCUAACGAUGUGCAGAGUUUUCCCCAGAAAAAAUAGGACUCAGUACUUGCUCACAGAAAGCAAAAUAUGACUGAAAUUAAGAAGUAAAAGAAAAAAAACCCCACUGUAAAUUAAAUGAAGCAAACCAGAUCUGAAUGAGUGUUGGGGUUUUGGGGGGUUUUCCCCCCAUUCAUUCAGAUCACAGAUAGCUUUACAGUGAAUCACCCUUUCUCAGGAAUUUGAGUGUGUGUGCAUUCUUAAAAGUAGUGCCAUGAUUUGUCAUUUACAAGAGAAGAAUAUGGGUAAGCCCUAAAAUAGUGACCUGCAACUGAGGUUGGCAAUCAUUUACAUCUCAGCAAGAAGAAUCAGAAAAUCCACAUCAGAGGUGCUCCCCAAGUGCUGUAUUCCAAGCACUUUGGUAUUGCUGUGUAUUCUGAAGCUCAUAUUUAGUUUAUUAUUCAAUCAAAAAUUCAUACCAACGGAACCAACAUAUUAUGACAAGUUAAUACAGAUUGUACCGUGCGGUGCCACUGCUCAAGAUGUUGUUUCCCUAAGGAUUUUUUUCCUUAAAAAGAGAGACCUGUUUUGAUGGCACAUCUUUUCUGUCAUACCAGUAGAAGCUCAAGACCCACUUUUCCAAAUGUUUUCUCCUCAUUUAUGUAAUUAUUAAAUAUCCAAGUGUGCACCGCAUGAUAGAAAAUUUUAAUCCUCUAAUCUCUACAUUUCAUCUGUGACACGAAUCUGCUGCUCUUUUCCAAGACUGCCCACUGCUUCCUACUGGGUGGGAAUUGCUGCUCUUUGGAGCAGGGUAUACAGUCUUGUUCUCUCUGAACCUACAGGAAGUUUGCUCAUGAGGAGUGGCCAGAUCUGGAGUGUUGCAAUAAAUGUUCAAAUAGGCAGUUAGGAUUUUAAUUGUAUUUUAAUCCAUGUAUGCUCACAUUGUACUGUUGGUUUGGAGCAAUGGCUGUGUAGGAUCUCUUAUUGAGCAUUCCACGUGAAAAACCUAUAGGAUUGUGCAUUUUUCCAAAGAAUAUUGAAGAAAUUAAUUUCUGUGGCUCACUAAAUUUAAAAGGUCUCCUAUAGGAUGACAUCUUCACUGAGGGCCGUUGUGAGAGCUCUGAAGGUGUAAUGAGACUUCCCCACAGCCAGAUCUGGUCACUGUGUCACCAAAUUCCUCUUCCUCUGAAAGCAAACGAGCCACAGAGUUAAAGCUUUUACACAGAACGUUUUGUCCUGUGGGGUAGUUGUCGUGCAAAGCGUUGUCUGAUAUGGGACAUACGUUACGUCUAAAGCGAAUAUUCUUCGUAAUUGAACACAAAGCUCUUUUCAGAACUUCUCAUCAGUCACCGGAGAAUGCUUUGUAGCUACUGAUGUAAAUGUUUCCUGAGGAUGGAGAGGGGUGGGGGGAAGCCCCCCCCAAAAAAACCCCUAUCCGUCUGGAAGAAGAGUUUAGAGCCCGGCAGGUCAGGACGGGGAUUUACUGCCUGGGGGUGGUGGCGGCCGCUGUGUGCUUUCGGGGUUCCUUUGGUUUAGGUCUGUUCUCCCAGGGGCUUCAA